rnacentral:misc_RNA from 1 species
UUUUUUAAAAAUACACAAAUAAAAGCUAUAAAAAAUAUGUGUUUAAGGGGCAGGUAUAGGUGUGUUCACAACACUGACCCUGCCUCGAGGGAUUAGGUUCGGACCCUACCAAGGCAGAAAGACGUCUGAAGUGACAUCAGAUUACUGUUGGCAAAUACACGAUGGUAAGAACAAUAAAUCACAUUACGUGGACGCGGCAAACGCGAACAAUUCUAACUGGAUGCGGUAUGUUAACUGCUCGAGACACUGGAGCGAACAGAAUCUUGUCGCUUACCAGUACAAGGGAAAGCUUUAUUACAGGACAAUAAAAAUAAUUCCAAAAUUCACUGAAUUAAUGGUUUUCUAUGGAGAGGAAUUUGUUGAUAUGCUCGGAAUUAACAUUCACAGAUAUAAUUCACCUCUUAGCUAUCUUCAAAAUUUAGGUGUCCCAACUUAUAACAAUCUUGAUGGUAGUGCAGAAAAUAAAAAUGAAGAACAAAUCAAUCCUCAAAAUAAUCUUACGAACUAUCUUUUAACUACUUCAAACGAAGC